rnacentral:rRNA from 1 species
UACGGAGGGGGCUAGCGUUGUUCGGAAUUACUGGGCGUAAAGCGCACGUAGGCGGCUUUGCAAGUUAGAGGUGAAAGCCCGGGGCUCAACUCCGGAAUUGCCUUUAAAACUGCAUCGCUAGAAUUGUGGAGAGGAAAGUGGAAUUCCGAGUGUAGAGGUGAAAUUCGUAGAUAUUCGGAAGAACACCAGUGGCGAAGGCGACUUACUGGACACAUAUUGACGCUGAGGUGCGAAAGCGUGGGGAGCAAACAGG